rnacentral:rRNA from 1 species
AUUGAACGCUGGCGGCAGGCCUAACACAUGCAAGUCGAGCGGAGCGGCGGACGGGGGAGUAAUGCCUAGGAAUCUGCCUGGUCGAGGGGGCUAACGUCCGGAAACGGGCGCUAAUAUCGCAUAAUAUCCGAUGAGCCUAGGUCGGAUUAGCUAGUUGGUGGGGUAAAGGCCUACCAAGGCGACGAUCCGUAACAGGUCUGAGAGGAUGAUCAGUCACACUGGAACUGAUACACGGUCCAGACUCCUACGGGAGGCAGCAGUAGGGAAUCUUGGGCAAUGGGCGAAAGCCUGAUCCAGCCAUGCCGCGUGUGUGAAGAAGGUCUUCGGAUUGUAAAGCUCUUUUAGUUGGGAGGCGUUACCAACAGAGUAAGCACCGGCUAACUUCGUGCCAGCAGCCGCGGUAAUAC